CCUACGGGUGGCAGCAGUGAGGAAUAUUGGUCAAUGGGCGCGAGCCUGAACCAGCCAAGUCGCGUGAAGGAUGACUGCCCUACGGGUUGUAAACUUCUUUUAUAAAGGAAUAAAGUGAGGCACGUGUGCCUUUUUGUAUGUACUUUAUGAAUAAGGAUCGGCUAACUCCGUGCCAGCAGCCGCGGUAAUACGGAGGAUCCGAGCGUUAUCCGGAUUUAUUGGGUUUAAAGGGUGCGUAGAUGGGUUGAUAAGUCAGUUGUGAAAGUUGGCGGCUCAACCCUAAAAUUGCAGUUGAUACUGGCAGUCUUGAGUGCAGUUGAGGUAGGCGGAAUGCGUGGUGUAGCGGUGAAAUGCUUAGAUAUCACGAAGAACUCCGAUUGCGAAGGCAGCUUACUAAACUACAACUGACGUUGAUGCUCGAAAGUGUGGGUAUCAAACAGGAUUAGAUACCCUUGUAGUC
rnacentral:rRNA from 1 species